rnacentral:rRNA from 1 species
GAACCUUACCUGGUCUUGACAUAGUAAGAACUUUCCAGAGAUGGAUUGGUGCCUUCGGGAACUUACAUACAGGUGCUGCAUGGCUGUCGUCAGCUCGUGUCGUGAGAUUGUUGGGUUAAGUCCCGCAACGAGCGCAACCUUUUCCUUAUUUGCCAGCGGGUUAAGCCGGGAACUUUAAGGAUACUGCCAGUGACAAACUGGAGGAAGGCGGGGACGACGUCAAGUCAUCAUGGCCCUUACGACCAGGGCUACACACGUGCUACAAUGGUCGGUACAAAGGGUUGCUACCUAGCGAUAGGAUGCUAAUCUCAAAAAGCCGAUCGUAGUCCGGAUUGGAGUCUGCAACUCGACUCCAUGAAGUCGGAAUCGCUAGUAAUCGCGGAUCAGAAUGCCGCGGUGAAUACGUUCCCGGGCCUUGUACACACCGCCCGUCACACCAUGGGAGUUUGUUGCACCAGAAGUAGGUAGUCUAACCGCAAGGAGGACGCUUACCACGGUGUGGCCGAUGACUGGGGUGAAGUCGUAACAAGGUAGGCGUAGAUGA